ACGUGCACAGUUUUGCAAAUCUUGACAUAUUCAUGAAUUGUGAUCUCCUAAGAAUUUUUCAACCUUUAAGAUAUCGUUAUCUGCUCCCCUAACUAGAGAUAUAAUACAGGUGAGGACAGCAUAAGAGGCUACUAGAAAUAUAUCAUCUCUUCCUCUUAUGAAGUAGAAGAUAAUCAAGUGCGACUUGUUAGUAAUAGAACUAAAAACAGACUGGGUGAAAUGUCUGCAAGAUCUGAAUAUAUUAAACUUUUUGAAAAGACAUUUCAGGAAACUCAACAAGGUGAAAGGUUAUUUAAAUGUCCAGAAUGUGAGAAAUCAUUUAUUACAAAAGCAUAUUUUGUUGUACAUCAGAGAAUUCACACAGGAGUGAAGCCAUAUUCAUGUUCGGAAUGUGAGAAAUGUUUUACUUCAAAAUUACAACUGG